rnacentral:rRNA from 1 species
UGGGGAAUCUUGGACAAUGGGGGGAACCCUGAUCCAGCAAUCCCGCGUGUGUGAUGAAGGCCUUCGGGUUGUAAAGCACUUUUUGCAGGGAAGAAAUAGCUCGGGUGAAUAAUCCGAGUGACUGACGGUACCUGCGGAAUAAGCACCGGCUAACUACGUGCCAGCAGCCGCGGUAAUACGUAGGGUGCGAGCGUUAAUCGGAAUUACUGGGCGUAAAGGGUACGCAGGCGGCCAGGCAAGAAGGGUGUGAAAUCCCUGGGCUUAACCUAGGAAUUGCACUUUUAACUGCUUGGCUAGAGUACGUCAGAGGGGGGUGGAAUUCCACGUGUAGCAGUGAAAUGCGUAGAUAUGUGGAGGAACACCGAUGGCGAAGGCAGCCCCCUGGGAUGAUACUGACGCU